UGGGGAAUUUUGCGCAAUGGGCGAAAGCCUGACGCAGCAACGCCGCGUGGAGGAUGAAGGCCUUCGGGUCGUAAACUCCUGUCAGGGGGGACGAAACGCCCGGCAACGGGCAUUGACUGUACCCUCUGAGGAAGCCACGGCUAACUCCGUGCCAGCAGCCGCGGUAAUACGGAGGUGGCAAGCGUUGUUCGGAAUUACUGGGCGUAAAGGGCGCGUAGGCGGCUAGGCAAGUCAGGUGUGAAAGCCCCGGGCUUAACUCGGGAAUUGCAUCUGAAACUGCUGUGCUUGAGUUCUGGAGGGGGUAGUGGAAUUCCCAGUGUAGCGGUGAAAUGCGUAGAUAUUGGGAGGAACACCUGCGGCGAAGGCGGCUACCUGGACAGAAACUGACGCUGAGGCGCGAAAGCUAGGGGAGCGAACGGGAUUAGAUACCCCGGUAGUCCUAGCUGUAAACGAUGGGCACUUGGUGUUGGGGGUAUUGAGUCCCCCGGUGCCGGAGUUAACACGUUAAGUGCCCCGCCUGGGGAGUACGGUCGCAAGACUGA
rnacentral:rRNA from 1 species